UACGUAGGGGGCAAGCGUUGUCCGGAAUCAUUGGGCGUAAAGAGCUCGUAGGCGGCUCAGUAAGUCGGGUGUGAAACCUCCAGGCUCAACCUGGAGACGCCACCCGAUACUGCUGUGGCUAGAGUCCAGUAGGGGAGUGUGGAAUUCCCGGUGUAGCGGUGAAAUGCGCAGAUAUCGGGAGGAACACCGGUGGCGAAGGCGGUUCUCUGGGACGUUACUGACGCUGAGACGCGAAAGCGUGGGGAGCAAACAGG
rnacentral:rRNA from 1 species